GCGAUUAGCUGUUCCAGGCAUCUUGGUUGGAUGGCGAAGCAAUGAAAGAGAGAACUUUUUUUUUGAAUAGGGUUAGGGGACCGCUAGCACCCCUCCGACGCGCGGCCUCCUCGUGCCGCUCUUCCAGCCGGUCCCUCGGCCUCGUCGUCGCGAUGGCAGAGGAGAGGGAUAACGAUCCUCGACCUCAACCCCAUCUGGUCGUGGGAGGUCGCCGAGGGGGCAGCAAGGGGAGGAGCUGCCGCAGCUACUACGCCACCUACUCCACCGCCAACCCCCUCCGCAGGGUGGCACGGGUCUUCGAGAACAUCGUUGGCUUCGUCGACGUCGGGUAGAGGCCGACCACUACAGGCAACUCCGCGGACGCGGCCGGGGGCGGGUGACGGAGCAGCGCGGCGGUGUCCGCGGUCGUCCCAGCGGCCGUUGUAGUUGCCGCGGUGGCGGCUGCGCAGGCGGCGCCUGCCGCGGCCGGGGAGCACGUGGGCGGCGGAGAAAGGACUUAAUGACUUCUUACUUCUUCUGGCCUUUGCAAUAAAAUAAAAGGCCUCUGUACGAUGCUUUUUCUUCCAACACGGUUUACACCGGCUUCUCGUUGUACCUCUUGAUAACGCAUACGGCCGACACUAACUUCUCGUUUGAGUUCUUGGUCACAGAUACGGCUUACGUGUAAACUACGUUGAUUCCCCCAAAACCACAACCAAAACGUACUCUAUGUUGACUAAAAUGACUGUAUUUGAGUAAAAAAACACUUUAAACAACGAAGUUUCCUACUGAAGCGGACGUUAAAAGUUGAUUUUCACG
rnacentral:rRNA from 1 species